CUACAGAAGAAUUAACAGGGAUGCUACCCCAGAGGCUUUCCUACAACUAACCAUGAUGAUGGCUUAUUCAAGAGUUCUAGGAGCGAAAAGGAGUCUGGAUCUCUUUCUUUUGAGCUUCAGCCGUAGGAGUACAUGGAAACUAAGCUCUCAGUAUUGUUCUGUGUCUUGGAACUGCAGGUUUUCCACAAAAGAAAAUUUGGCUGUGUCAAGAUUGCACUUUUGCAUUAAUGAACUGUCAGGAAACCCCAGGGAAUACAACCAAAGAGGUAAACAGAAGUACUGAGUCUGCAGGAAAUAAGCUGAAAAUUUGCAAGAAAUCUUUGAAAUACUUCUGUGUGCCUAAAAUCAGAGACAAAAUUGCUACAUAAGAGAAGCAGUCCUGACCUGUCUUCCAAUGCGGAUAACCGGCAAUAAGCUGAGACAUGUAUAGCGUCCUACUACGCUGUAAGAGAUUGAAUUCUCAAGGAACAGGAAACUCUGAUCAGUUUUGUCUUGACAUUGAACGGGGCAGGUGUGUCCACAUAAGGUGCAACAGAGAGGAUUUGCAUGCUG